CUGCAUUCCAGACUUCUGAAAACAGGCGCAAGAAGAAUUUACAGGCCGUCCACAGGAGCAGUAAUGCUCCUAGCUGCUAUUCAUACAUGUGACCAGGUUGAUGCUUAUGGGUUCAUGACCCCUGACUACAGAUUGUAUUCGGACCACUACUACGACAAACAGCAACAUCCAGUGCAUUUCUAUGCCAAUCAUGACAUGCGAAUGGAAAUGAGGUUGUGGCAAGAGCUGCAUAAUGCCGGACUGAUGAAUCUCUUCAUGAGCAAAUAAGCUCAAAAGGAUGGACGCUACAUAUUGUGUAUAGGGUGUUUUUUUUUUUAUUGUCAGAACUGAAAAACUGCUGGGAGGCGUGUGCAGGACAAACCUGUUAUUCUCCCUUCUGUAUUAGACAUAUUUUCUUUUGAAGGAAAAGUUCAUAUUGUUCAACGGAAAACUACGUGCAGAAACUAUGUAGGCAAUACUUUGGAUUGAUUGUCUUUUGAGACAGUUAAUGAGAGACAAAUGGCUGACUAAUGUGUCAUAGGGGAGAGGCUUUGUAAACAUGGGUAGAGUUCAGGAAUAACUGAAUAACUUGUGUUCUUGGCCGCCAUUUGUUCACACAUUGUCAUUUCAGAUCAAGGCAGGACAGGAUGAAUUCCAGCCGUGCUUUGGGCCACAUACAAAGAUUCGGUAAUGCGUGCCUUUAGAAUUCUCAAACAAUGGACUGCCGUGGUGUGUGAGAAACACUGAGAAUUAAAAUUUUCUUCAGAAAAUCACACUAAGAGCAAAAUAAUCAACCAAAGAGAAUAUUUUUAAAUGAUUUUAUUUUAUAUUCUUAAUCAUAUUCCUUUAAUAUGGUGUGGGAGUGUAAGUGUUUAUAGGUGGUCCAUUCAAAAUGGAUUUGUUGCCAUGUUGCAUCAUGUGUAAAUCAAGAAGGGUUUUCUCUUUUUAAGAGACUUUUUAUGCCUUCGGCCCUAAGGCAUAAAACGUUUACAGCUUAACUUUACUUGGAAGCUUUAAAGUGCAAUAUCUUAGAGUUCACAAGCUGUUUGAAUCAAAAUGUGAAUAUCUUUUGUGAUCCUGCUAUGGUCUGUUUGGUCACUUGAUGCCAUCUCUUGAUUGUAUUUAACAAAUUUUUCACAAAAGAAUUUAACUGCUAUGUUCACUCUGGGGAAAUUAACUGGUUUAGAGAUUCACCACACUACUGGUUAGAUUUCAAAAAUCACUCCACUUUUAUAAAAUGGUUAAGGAUUUUUGUAAACGGAUGUGAAGUAAUAAAAAUGGAAAGAUGGUCCUAUAGCAGCGUGUAUUUUAAGCUCUUUUGAAAUUGUGUUGCUGGUUAUAAAUGAUAUGCCUCCAUUUUGUAUCAGAAUGCUGUGUAUAUGGCUUUAUUUAUAGUGUAGAAUUUUUUUUUUUUAUAUAUAUAGUUUGCUUUACAAAAAAUUGUUUAGUCUA